rnacentral:rRNA from 1 species
AGGACGAACGCUGGCGGCGUGCUUAACACAUGCAAGUCGAGCGAGGCUCUUCCUUCGGGAAGAUGUCCUAGCGGCGAACGGGUGAGUAACACGUGGGCAACCUGCCCCUAGCACUGGGAUAACCCCGGGAAAACCGGGGCUAAUACCGGAUAUCACUUCGGAAGGCAUCUUCUGAAGUUGAAAGGGUUACUGGCUAGGGAUGGGCCCGCGGCCUAUCAGCUUUGUUGGUGGGGUAAUGGCCUACCAAGGCGACGACGGGUA